UGGUGGAUGGCCCGGCGCGGCGGGGGAUUCUCACCGCUGCGGCUGGUGCUGGCCGGCGUGGGCGUCGGGCAGUUCCUGUCCGGCUUCACCAGC
rnacentral:tRNA from 1 species